rnacentral:tRNA from 3 species
GCAUCCAUGGCUGAGCGGUUAAAGCACCCAACUCAUAAUUGGCGAAUUCACAGGUUCAACUCCUGUUGGAUGCA